GUCGUUACAUGCCAUCCACAGUUGGAAUAUUAUCAUAUUUAGCCAUUUUUCCAUCUAAUUUCAUCAGCCACAUUAUUGAGUCGCAACCUCACCGAUGACCACCGCGCCAAUCUUGAGGCCAUGCGGUGUUGUUUGACCGCCGCCGUCCGGCUAAACUGCCACCACUGUCCCCCUCUUUUUUUAGGAAUCUUCUAUUUCAUUCUAUAUUUUUUUUUACGUAUUUAUCGUCGUCGUUUGGCUGAAUUGCCACCACUCUAUUCCCCUCUUCUGUAGGCAUAUUCUAUUUAUUUUAUAUUUUUUAUUUGAAUUUGUUAAAUUCUUAUUUAAUUUCGUCUCCCUUUUGAACUUCUAGUGAUCCUUUUGCUUUACCAGCUUCAGUCUCUGAAGGUUUUUCUUUGCCUUCUUUCCUCCUUUUUGGCAAAUCGAAGAAACUUCUGCAGCUCGGUUAUAGUUGAAAUUUGGCGAUACAUUAUGAAACUUGUAAGCAGAGAUAGCGGAUGAAACAAGACGAGAUUUUUUAUGUGUUUUCAUGCUGUAAGCAGUUGAUGCUAUUGCUAUUGGCCAUUAACUUCAAAUGCCAGAUUUUACAUUACGAAACGAUUCCAUUUUCAAUUACAGCUUUGACUCAAUUAGAAAAUUGUAGUGUCUCCACAAAAUCAGUUAUGAACUUCAUCGUGGCUGUGGAGCUAU
rnacentral:lncRNA from 1 species